GUAGUCAUGUAUGGAUGUGAUAGUUGGACUAUACAGAAAAUUGAGCAUUGAAGAAUUGAUACUUUUGAACUGUGGUGUUGGAGAAAAUUCUUGAGAGUCCCUUGGACUGCAAGGAGAUCCAACCAGUGAAUCCUAAAGGAAAUCAGUCCUGAAUAUUCAUUGGAAGGACUGAUGCUUAAACACUUUGGCCAACUAAUGCAAAGAAUGGACUCCUUGGAAAAGACUUUGAUGCUGGGAAAGAUUGAAGGUAGGUGGAGGGUACAACAGAGGAUGAGGUGGUUGGAUGGCAACGCCGACUAGAUGGACAUGAGUUUGAGCAAGCUCUGGGAGUUGGUGAUGAACAGGGAAGCCUGGCUUCUAUGGGGUCACAAAGACUCAGACACAACUGAGCAACUGAACUGAACUGAACUGAAUGCUUUACUAUGGGAGGGCACAGGAUGAUGUGGGAUAGUACAGAAAGAGAUCACAACCCACACUGGAAAGUGGGGGAUGGAAGAAUGGGCCAGAGAGAGAUGUUCCUUACAGAAAUGCCUUAUAGCAGAAGGUGGGGAGAUGUCAUAAAGGAAAAGAUGAUACGAGAGCAUGGUUGGAUAGAGAACAAAGCAGAGGACUAGAAUGCCAACUGCAGAAACGUUCUGUGCAGAGGCAGGGUGGCGUUUCAGUGCUGGUGGCAGUACAGCCUUCUUUAUAAGGAUGAAUGAAGAUGAAAAGCAAGACAAAUAGAAGCGAAUGAGACACUGCUUUAUGUGAUUCAUGAUAGCUUGCCGUAAGCCUGUUAGCCUCUGCCUGGCUCUCCUCUCUGAGAAAAUAAUGGAUAGUUACAAUGUGUAUAGUGACAUUGUCAAACCAUCAGGAAUUGCUGAUUAUAGUGCUAAAUAUUGAUCUCUGCUUCACAUGUGUCAAAAUUCUUUCUUCCCUUAAUUAGAACUUCCCUAAGCACCAUACAAGAACAAACUGAUUUCUGUGAAAGGGAGUGUGAUACUAGAAUAUAAUUGUGACCUCUUGUCUUCUUUUCUCUUGAGUUCUGAGAUGACUUCGGCUGUCUCUCCUGCCCUUCCCAGCACAUGUGAUCAUCAUGCUCAUUUUUCCCAAUCUAACCAUAGGAAGAUUUCUCCCAGCCUCUGCUUUUCAUCAUUUUGAACCACUAGGGUAGUAGUCAGAUGGCAAUGAGACUUAAAGUGCCAGAAGGUGCCUUUUUCUAUUUGUUUGUUUC
rnacentral:lncRNA from 1 species